rnacentral:rRNA from 1 species
GAUGAACGUUGGCGGCGUGCUUAACACAUGCAAGUCGAACGGAAAGGCCCAAGCUUGCUUGGGUACUCGAGUGGCGAACGGGUGAGUAACACGUGGGUGAUCUGCCCUGCACUUCGGGAUAAGCCUGGGAAACUGGGUCUAAUACCGGAUAGGACCACAUUUUGGAUGGUGUGGUGGAAAGUUUUUCGGUGUGGGAUGAGCUCGCGGCCUAUCAGCUUGUUGGUGGGGUAAUGGCCUACCAAGGCGUCGACGGGUAGCCGGCCUGAGAGGGUGUACGGCCACAUUGGGACUGAGAUACGGCCCAGACUCCUACGGGAGGCAGCAGUGGGGAAUAUUGCACAAUGGGCGCAAGCCUGAUGCAGCGACGCCGCGUGGGGGAUGACGGCCUUCGGGUUGUAAACUCCUUUCGCUAGGGACGAAGCGUUUUUGUGACGGUACCUGGAGAAGAAGCACCGGCUAACUACGUG